rnacentral:rRNA from 1 species
CUAGUCGAACGAACAGAACUAUGUCUGUAAGUGGCAUACUGCUCAGUAACACGUAGCUAACCUACCCUUAGGACGUCGAUAACCCCGAGAAAUUGGGGCUAAUAGGCGAUAGAUGUAUUGUCCUGGAAUGGUAAUACGUCCAAAGGUAUCCCAUACAUGUUUGGUAUACGCCUAAGGAUGGGGCUGCGGCCGAUCAGGCUGUUGGUGAGGUAAUGGCUCACCAAACCUUUGACCGGUAUGGGCCAUGAGAGUGGUAGCCCAGAGAUGGACACUGAGACAAGGGUCCAGGCCCUACGGGGCGCAGCAGGCGCGAAACCUCCUCAAUGCACUAACGUGCGAAGGGGUUACCUCGAGUGCCACCUGAAGAAGGUGGCUUUUCCUUGGUCUAAAAAGCCUAGGGAAUAAGAGGGGGGCAAGACUGGUGUCAGCCGCCGCGGUAACACCAGCCCCUCGAGUGGUGGGGAUGAUUAUUUGGCCUAAAGCGUCCGUAGCCGGCCGGGUAAGUUUCCCGUUAAAUCCAGCGUCUCAAGCGUUGGACUGCGGGAAAUACUGCCUGGCUAGAGAGUGGGAGAGGUCAGCGGUAUUCUGGGGGUAGGGGCGAAAUCCUUUGAUCCCCGGAGGACCACCAGUGGCGAAGGCUGCUGACUAGAACACGUCUGACGGUCAGGGACGAAAGCUGGGGUAGCGAACCGGAUUAGAUACCCGGGUAGUCCCAGCCGUAAACGAUGCAUGCUAGGUGUUGGGUUGGCCACGAGCCACCCCAGUGCCGCAGGGAAGCCGUUAAGCAUGCCGCCUGGGAAGUACGAUCGCAAGGUUGAAACUUAAAGGAAUUGGCGGGGGAGCACCACCAGGCGUGAAGCCUGCGGUU